rnacentral:rRNA from 1 species
CCUACGGGAGGCAGCAGUGAGGAAUAUUGGUCAAUGGGCGCAAGCCUGAACCAGCCAAGCCGCGUGAGGGAUGAAGGUACAGAGUAUCGUAAACCUCUUUUGUCAGGGAACAAAGGCGGGGACGUGUCCCCGGAUGAGUGUACCUGAAGAAAAAGCAUCGGCUAACUCCGUGCCAGCAGCCGCGGUAAUACGGAGGAUGCGAGCGUUAUCCGGAUUUAUUGGGUUUAAAGGGUGCGCAGGCGGUCUGUUAAGUCAGCGGUCAAAGCCCGGGGCUCAACCCCGGCCCGCCGUUGAAACUGGCAGUCUCGAGUUGGAGAGAAGUAUGCGGAAUGCGCGGUGUAGCGGUGAAAUGCAUAGAUAUCGCGCAGAACUCCGAUUGCGAAGGCAGCAUGCCGGCUCCACACUGACGCUGAGGCACGAAAGCGUGGGUAUCGAACAGGAUUAGAUACCCGAGUAGUC